GACGAACGCUGGCGGCGCGCCUAACACAUGCAAGUCGAACGAGCGAGAGAGAGCUUGCUUUCUCGAGCGAGUGGCGAACGGGUGAGUAACGCGUGAGGAACCUGCCUCAAAGAGGGGGACAACAGUUGGAAACGACUGCUAAUACCGCAUAAGCCCACGGCUCGGCAUCGAGCAGGGGGAAAAGGAGCAAUCCGCUUUGAGAUGGCCUCGCGUCCGAUUAGCUAGUUGGUGAGGUAACGGCCCACCAAGGCGACGAUCGGUAGCCGGACUGAGAGGUUGAAGGGACAAAUGGGGACGGAGACACGGCCCAGACCCCUACGGGAGGAAGCAGGGGGGAAUAUUACAAAAGGGGGGAAACCCUGAUGGAGGGACGCCGGGGGGAGGAAGAAGGUUUUCGGAUGGUAAACUCCUGUUGGGGGGAAAGAAAAUGACGGUACCCAAAAAGGAAGGAACGGAUAACUACGU
rnacentral:rRNA from 1 species